UACGGAGGGUGCGAGCAUUAAUCGGAUUUAUUGGGCGUAAAGGGCGCGUAGGCGGGAACAUAAGUCAGAUGUGAAAUCCCGGGGCUCAACCCCGGAACAGCAUUUGAUACUGUGUUUCUAGAGGGUAGGCGGAGAAAAUGGAAUUCCACAAGUAGCGGUGAAAUGCGUAGAUAUGUGGAAGAACACCGGUGGCGAAGGCGAUUUUCUAGCUUAUACCUGACGCUGAGGCGCGAAAGCAAGGGGAUCAAACAGG
rnacentral:rRNA from 1 species